rnacentral:lncRNA from 10 species
AUUCCCACAGUUGAGGGCGCAUCACCCUAGUCUUUAGGCAGAGAGUGCUUCCCAUCAUGGCCUGGGCCCCAGCUCCCCUCACAUGCUCGGUGCUGCUGGGGAGGCUUGGGAAGGGGCGUGGAGGCAUACCGUCUGAUUUGGGGAGCUUGUGUCCUGUUGAGAGAGAGGACAUGCACACACCCGCCUGCACAGCAAGAACUUCCAAACCUGGCUGCUUAACGUACUCCAGGGAUAUUUCAAGUGAGAAGUGCAGGAAUAUGGAAGCAGGGACUCAAGCAGGAACCAUGGAUGUUGGGGCGUCCAUGAAGGGGUAGCCCUGACUAAAGGAAGAUUUAAGGAAAAGCACCACUCUUUGUAUCCAAAAUAAGGCCAGUGCCUGUUGUUUCUUAUGUUAUUACUGGAGAAAAGGUCAGGGCUGGGCUCUCGGGCUCCCCACGUGUGAGGUUCUUGGGACUGAAGCCUUUGCCUCCAACAGUCUCUUGGGGUCAGAGGCUGUUUUGUUCUUGUUUCCUCAGUUAAGCUGCAGUGGUAACAGGCCGACACACAGGAAAUCAUAAGUCAGGAGGGCCACUGCCACGCAGGAAAGACCCAUCUGAACUGCUGCAAAAGGCGAGUUGGAAAUCAUUUACUUAAUCGUGACUUAAAUGGCCAGACAGGAAGGCUCGUUUAUCCAAGGAAAGAUGAAGGCUUAUGGGUUCUGUGUGUGUGUGUGUGUGUUGCUAAAAUAGAAGUUUCAGCAAUCAAAACAUACACAAUAAAUAUUUUAUUUGUUUGAUUCAUUUAGAUGUUUCUGGGGCUAGUUUUGAACAUUAGGAAAUGGAAUCAUUGGAUCAUUUGAAUUUACCAAAAAUGUGGAUAUUUCUAAAGUAGCAGAAAUAAAGGACUUCAGUAUUGGAAGGGGCCUCAGUUGCUCCCUCUCUAUAGAUGGGGAAGGGCAUCAAGACAGAUGGCGUGACUUGCCCAGAACCACUCAGCCAGGCACAGAGGGAAGCUGGGUCUGACUCACCACCACCCACAGCUGGUCUCUGCAUUUUGUAAUGCUUUGCUACUGACAAAGUCUUUUGUGUGCCUUAUCUCUUUUGAUCCAUGCAUGUUACAGCUGUGGAUAACUAGUCCUUGAUUCCUCCUCAAAACACCACAAGCAUCCUAUUGUGUUUAGAUGAGCCUGGUCUUUCCCUUCACCCAUGUCCAACAUGUGAAUGUACUGCACCAUGCACAUUAAAGGCCUCCCUGGACCAUUACUAGUGAAGUGAGGCAGACAAUAGCAGCUACUGUGGAUCACACAUCUUCUGUGUGACAAGGACACUGUCAGCCAUUUCAUAUUUAUUAUUUUAUUUUCUCCUUACGACAUCACUAAGUACUGGUGAUUAUUAUCCUUCUCUCUUUGCAGGGAUAUAAACCAGGCUUAGAGGAAUUAAGUAACUUGCCCAGGUUCCUGUAAACAGGAAGGACAGCAAGUCCUCACUAAAUGUCACUGAUAGGUUCUUGGACACUGACUUUAAGUGAAACAACAUGCAGCAGGUCCUCGAAUAAUGUCAUUUUGUUCAAUGUUAUUCGUUUUCUUAUAUGUCAUUUUGUUUAAAAUUGUGGUUCCCAAGAACCUAUUGACGACAUUAAUAGGCUCUUAGACGCCAGUGCUAUUUCUAAGUCAGAAGUACAAAAAUGUGAAGUAGAGACUUGAUAAGGGACUGUGGGUGUUGGGGCAUCAUCCAUGUAUUUAAUCCAAUAUAUUCAAAAUGUUACUUACACAGUCAAUAUAAAAAUUGUUAAUGAGAUAUUUUACAUUUUUUAUUAUGUGCCAUGUCUUUGAAAUUUGGUAUGUGUUUUACACUUUACACUGCAAUUCUGACAAGCCAAUUUCAAGUGUUCAACAGCCACAUGUGGCAAGUGGUCACCAUAUAGGGCAGUGCCACUCUAUAACAAAAGAAAGGGGAAAAUAUUUCUGGAAGGAUGGUUGUU